rfam:Zootermopsis nevadensis contig24181, whole genome shotgun sequence.
GACACGGUGGUCUAGCGGUCAGAACACUAGCCUUGUAAGCCUGGGUUCCCGGGUUCAAUUCCCGGUGGUGCUC